GCCUGCUGAAAGCGGGGUGCCUGAAAGGGACCGGAACACAGGUGCUGCAUGGCUGUCGUCAGCUCGUGUCGUGAGAUGUUGGGUUAAGUCCCGCAACGAGCGCAACCCUUGUCCCUAGUUGCUACGCAAGGGCACUCUAGGGAGACUGCCGGUGACAAACCGGAGGAAGGUGGGGAUGACGUCAAGUCCUCAUGGCCCUUAUGGGUAGGGCUUCACACGUCAUACAAUGGUCGGUACAGAGGGUCGCCAACCCGCGAGGGGGAGCCAAUCCCACAAAGCCGAUCGUAGUCCGGAUUGCAGUCUGCAACUCGACUGCAUGAAGUCGGAAUCGCUAGUAAUCGUGGAUCAGCAUGUCACGGUGAAUACGUUCCCGGGUCUU
rnacentral:rRNA from 1 species